rnacentral:rRNA from 1 species
AUUGAACGCUGGCGGCAGGCUUAACACAUGCAAGUCGAACGAUGAUUAUCUAGCUUGCUAGAUAUGAUUAGUGGCGGACGGGUGAGUAACAUUUAGGAAUCUGCCUAGUAGUGGGGGAUAGCUCGGGGAAACUCGAAUUAAUACCGCAUACGACCUACGGGUGAAAGGGGGCGCAAGCUCUUGCUAUUAGAUGAGCCUAAAUCAGAUUAGCUAGUUGGUGGGGUAAAGGCCCACCAAGGCGACGAUCUGUAACUGGUCUGAGAGGAUGAUCAGUCACACCGGAACUGAGACACGGUCCGGACUCCUACGGGAGGCAGCAGUGGGGAAUAUUGGACAAUGGGGGCAACCCUGAUCCAGCCAUGCCGCGUGUGUGAAGAAGGCCUUUUGGUUGUAAAGCACUUUAAGCAGGGAGGAGAGGCUAAUGGUUAAUACCCAUUAGAUUAGACGUUACCUGCAGAAUAAGCACCGGCUAACUCUGUGCCAGCAGCCGCGGUAAUACAGAGGGUGCGAGCGUUAAUCGGAAUUACUGGGCGUAAAGCGAGUGUAGGUGGCUCAUUAAGUCACAUGUGAAAUCCCCGGGCUUAACCUGGGAACUGCAUGUGAUACUGGUGGUGCUAGAAUAUGUGAGAGGGAAGUAGAAUUCCAGGUGUAGCGGUGAAAUGCGUAGAGAUCUGGAGGAAUACCGAUGGCGAAGGCAGCUUCCUGGCAUAAUAUUGACGCUGAGAUUCGAAAGCGUGGGUAGCAAACAGG